GCUUGCUGAAUGAAAUGGGAAAAACACACACAUACUUAGGGAGUGUGUGUAAGGAGAGGAAUUUCAGGAUCAAGGGAUGCAAGUGGCAGGAUAAAGUAAUCUUUUCAAGUUUUGAAGCCCCCAUAUGCCUACAGGAAUACACUGCUUAGCAAGCCAUGCCAGGCAGUUGCCCCUGGAGCCACAUCACCAUGGCUGAAAACACCACAGGAGCGAUGGCCACAGACUCUGUGCACUGCUGAGCUCUGCUGGAGAAGGAUACAGAGAGAUGAACAAGGAAUUGGUGUUAUGAAAACUCACUGGAACAUUGGAAACAUGUGGAAUAUGGGAAAGAUGAGAAUAGAGUAGCCCAUUCUGGAAAGAAUUCUCAAAUGACACUUUGCUGAGCAAGAAGGCUUCUUUGAUGGGCUAAACGUUCCUGGGCAUGAGAAGGGGAGGAGGAACAGGAGAGGACAGAUGGUUCUCAUGGCAGGAAAAAGAUGACACCACUCUCAUUAUCCAAGAACAUCUUUGAUGGACACGUGUUACAUGGAAACAUCUUUGUUAUAUGCUUAGUUGGGGCACAAUAAUAAAUGCAAAUGGAUCGAGUGUCUUUCAUAACAUUCAGGACAAAUGCUGAAGAGCCCUGUUUAAACAGACAAACAAGCAAGAUCAAGAAACCACUGUUUAAGGUAAGUAGAAAGGACUUUUGAAUGAUUGAUCCUUUCAAUGAGUGGCUCCCUGUGGCUCCGAAUUGUUUAAUAAGAAUAUAAGAAUGAGACUCUUUCUUUUAAUAAGAAUAUAAGAAUGAGACCCCUACACAGUUUCUUCUCUGAGUGAGUCACCAAUAAUUAUGUAGGAAAGCAAGUUCAUCUCACAUUAUCUUGCUCUAUGCACAAAGCAGUCUAGAAAGAAUCCCAGACAGUAUCUACUGUAUCAUGUUUCACACCAGUCCUCAAAAUAACUCUGAAUAAAGUCAUAGAAAGAACCUGAACUGAGAAGACAGAAGUUAUUUCAAAAGCCUUUAGAUUCUGAGAAUCAGCUCUUCUGGCUUUGGUGUUUUUUGUUUUCCUCUGUGGAGCCAUUUCUAGAUGUGCCAUCUGCCCACAUAAUACAUACCGUUCAACAUUGCAGCUGCAAAGUAAAUGAGGGGCCAGGAUGAGGAGCAGAAGUUAACACCUUAAAACCAGAACCACCCUAGAAUCAAUGGUAAAUGGUUAAUGGCUAUGAUGUCUGGAGAAGUCUGUCAGGCCAGACAGAGAACUUGGGCAACAGAUACCCAAGGCUAAAGAGUAAGGACUAUCAGAAUGAACUGUAGAAAAGUAAUGGAGAACAAUUUGCAUGUACAUUUUUUUUUAAUGGGGAAGCUGUAGUAAGAGAGGGACACUUUCUCAAAUAUGAGUGAUGGGUACAUGUAUUCUAGCCAGACAGUGAUGUUUCAGUGGGUCAUUAUUAUGAGAAAAGAAUUAGGCUGGACAAGUUUGUGUGUCUAUUACCCAUGGGAUUCACAAAAAUAGGCUCUAGAGUUCAAUUAAAUAGCUAUCCUAUGGUAAAAUACUCACUGAUGCUUUUGUUCCAUGCUUUUCUUUUUUUCUUUUAAAAGUUUUUGCCUCCCUUUGGUAGCACAGGAUAGAUCUAGGUGUCAUCACUGUUGAACAUCAGAUAUUUCAAGCUUUCUCCAUAUUAGUCCUGCAGAGUAAGGUAUGAAGGAUAGAAUCAGGAUGGUGUCUGCUUCUUUUUGCACAAAAUCCUUUUAAAUUCUAUAAAUCCUGGUCUUGAAAUACUCUCCUGUGGAAAAUACCAAGAGAAAAAAAGAAAACCCCAGGGACAAAAUAAAGGAUGAGACAAAUGAUGGUGAUUUUUAAAUUAUGUUUUUCCCCCUUUGAAAGCUACAUAUCCUCAUACUCACUGUCCACUAAAAAUAUGUUUUGGCCUUUAAAUAAGUGAGUCAGAAUGCUAUCUGGAUAUGCCCCUUCCUCACAAUCAAGCUGUAAAUAUGUUGACUUUUGAAAAAGUUAUGCAUUUUGUACGUCAUUAUGUAAAUGUGGUCAUAGUCUUAGUGUUAAACAGACCUAUUUUCAGAAAAGACUUUCUAAAAUUCCUCCGCAAAAUUUAGCAAAUAAUUACCAAACAGUUUUGUCCCUCUAAAUACCUAUCUAAACAUUGAAACCCUUAAAUUUUCUGGUACAUGUAUGAGGCCUAAUACAAUCAAAUUUAUUUACUGCUCUUCCCUCUCCCCAUCUCAGAGAACAGAAAGCAAAAACACACAAAAAGAUUCCACUGAGACAAGAAUUACAUUCUUCCUCUAAUGACAGUUUGAGCAUGAUCUUUUGAAAUUGUGGUUUUGUUACUGAGUUUAAGCUUGUAUUGCUCCCCAGUGUGACAAGUCAAUAAAUCAAGAAACAAAUUAUUAGGGCAAGGAAUAGCCACCUUAUUUGGAAAGCCAGCAGAUUGAAGAGAUGUUGGACUAGUGUCUCAACCAUUUUUAUCUGAGUUAGAAUUAGGAAGCUUUUAUUACUAAAAGGUGAGGAGCAUGGCUGGUUGUUGUAAACUUCUGAAUACUGGAAUUCUUGUGGUCUUGCAACUGUCUAUACAUAUCUGGACACGGUGUUCUUAUAGAUAAGACAAUUGUUAUUUUCUGUUUUGCAACUUCUUAUUUCUAUGUGAAUGGAAAAUUGUGAUUCCUUGAAAGGUCAGAGCCUUGAGAAUGGUCUAUCAUUUAUAUUUCAGGCUGUAGGAAACAUUCUUUUACAAAGAGUCAGGGCCACUAUGGCCAAGUGAAGAUAGCCAAGCUCUUGCAAAGGUGGAAACCACGGGAAUGGGUCCAAUAUGGAGUCAGGUUUGUUCUUCUCUGUUACAGUUUUGCUGUAACAAGUGUUAUUGGAUCUUGGGUUAGUGAAUAUUAGAGAACAGGAAUACGGAUAAGGUGUUCAGUAGUCCAUCCUCCACACCUUCCAUACUUGGCCACAUUGAGAAAACUCAUUGGUCGUGACUGUAAAGUAGUAUAGCAUUAGGUUUCACAAACUUGAAGAAUAUGGUGGAUAAAAAAGAAUCAUGUAUCUUUUCCAAUUCUGUCUCUUACUAGCCUUGUGACUUAGAGUUUAAGUUUCCUAAUCUACUAAUGAGAGAUAACCUUUUUUUCUCUGAAAAGUUUUUUUUUUUUUGAAAAUUAAGGAUUCAAAGCAUUUAAACAUACUUACUCUAGAGCCUGGGACAGCCUAACUAACUGGUUAGUAGCUGUUGUUUAACUUUAUGUCCAGACAAAAAUUUAAUAUCCCUGUCCAAUAUGGUUAGUCUUUAAAACAAUUUUGUUUCAUUUUACAAGUGGAAAAAUAAUGUUACAGGAAAAUUGAUAGUUAGAAAAUUAUUCAAAUAGCUCCCUAUUAUUUAUUCCAUGACACGUAAAAAAAUUUAGAGUAUUUUUUCCAGCAUUUAUUCAUUAUCACAUAAUGUUCCAUUUUUUUUCUUGGUAAUCAUUCUGUACACACAGCUGGCAUACUCUUUUACAUACUGUUUUCUGUAUUGUUUCAUAACCAUGAAAUUUUGACAUCCACAGAAAGCUUCAUAUCACAAAAACACAUUUAAUAUUUAAAAUGUUUUCUUUUUGAAAUUUCAAAAAUUUACUUAAAACAAAUGUACUUGUAACAACUACCCUUAUGUAUCAAGUAAAAUGAGUUUAUUGAUUUAUACUAUGCAUGGAUUAGUAUAUCACAUCCUUGCUACAGAGCUUUUUAGUUUAUCUUUUCAGUGUAAAGCAAUUAAAGUUAUGUAGAGUUAAAAAUGUAUUAUGUUUGGAAUAUCUUGCAGAUAAAAUAAAUACCGAACAGAUAGCACAAAGCCCUGCAUACACUAACGAAUGCAUUGUAUAUGGCAAUGAUGGACUUAACCUGGAGGUAAAUUACUCAUCCUGCCUGAUUAUCUGAAAACAUUAACCAAGCAAAAGUAGUUGCUGAUAAUAUACAAUAUAUUUUCCAGCAGAUUUUUGUCCUUGAUAAGAGAUUUUGAUAAAUCUGUUUAUCAAAGACAAUUUUAUUUCUCUUCCCAUUCUUUUUAAAACACUAUCUAUGGAAGGAAUUCUUCAUCUAAGAUCCAUGGGCCAUGAUGGGAGUGGGGGUUAUGGAUGGAUACUGCUUAAAAUUGUGUCCAAAUCUAGGAUUUAUACCCGUGUGUUUUGGUCUCAGGAGAAUGACUGGACUUCAUAGGAUCUAGUGCUGAAUUUGGUGGUAUCUCACUUUACUUACAGCUGUAAAGUAAUGCACUCUAGAAUGAUCUGUAGGUUCUUUCUUGUGUUUGGAAGUGUGUGUGUGCAUGCUAAGUUUAGCCCUACCCUUCCUUUCUUAUCAGUAGGAAAGGAACUAGAGGGAUUUGGAGUGGGCUGUUGGAAAACAAACAAGAAAACCCCAAACCAGUGUCUUCCUCAGUGGCAGAAUGUCCAGGGCACAUGUUGUUCUUCACAUUUCUCUUCCUCGUAUUGAAACAAAAAUACAUAUGUUUCUCUUUGGAGGGACUCACAGCUUCCGAAAAUGAAGGGAAUGUGCCUAGUUAGCCAACAUCACCUUCUCUUCUCUAAACUUGCAAAAAGUUGAAUCUCAAAUCUAUACAUUGUAAACACUCCUUUCUUCUACUUAUUUUUAGGUUUUUAUUUUUCUAUUAUAGUUGAUUCUACAUUGUUUUGUCAGUUUCUGCUAUAUAGCAAAGUGACCCAGUCAUAUAUAUAUAUAUAUAUGCAUAUAUACAUUCACACAUAUAUACAUCCAUAUAUAUAUAUACAUUCACACACACACACAUAUAUAUACACAUUUCUUUUUCUCGCAUUAUCCUCCAUCAUGUUUUAUCACAAGUGGCUAGAUAUAGUUCCUAGUGCUACACAACAGGAUCUCAUCUACUCCAAAUGCAAUAGUUUACAUCUACUAACCCCUAACUCUCAGUCCAUCUCAUUCCCUCCCCCUUGGCAACCCCAAAUCUGUUCUCUAAGUCCAUGAUUUUAUUUCUCCUCUGUAGAUAGGUUCAUUUGUCCUGUAUAUUAAAUUCCAGAUAUAAGCAAUAUCAUAUGGUAUUUGUCUUUAUCCUUCUGACUUACUUCACUUAGUAUGAGAGUCAUCCAUGUUGCUACAAAUGGCAUUAUUUUGUUCUUUUUAUGGCUGAGUAGUAUUCCAUUGUGUAUAUAUACCACAUCUUCUUAAUCCAUUCAUCUGUCAAUGGACAUUUAAGUUGUUUCUAUGUCUUGUCUAUAGUGAAUCAUGCUCCAGUGAACAUAGGGGUGCAAGUAUCUUUUCCAGUGAAAGUUUUAUCCAAUUAUAUGCCCAAGAGUAGGAUUGCUGGGUCAUUUGGUAGUUCUAUAUUUAGUUUUCUGGGGUACCUCCAUACUGUUUUCCAUAGUGUUUGUACCAAUUUACAUUCCCACCAGCAGUGCAGGAGAGUGCUCUUUUCUCCACACCCUCUCCAGCAUUUGCUAUUUGUUGACUUGUUAAUGACGACCAUUCUGACUUUUGUGAGGUGGCACCUUGGGAAAAUAGGACAUCUACAUGUUAAUCAAUGAAACUAGAACACAGCCUCACACCAUGCAGAAAAAUAAAUUCAAAAUGGCUUAACAACUUAAACAUAGGACAAGACACAAAACUCCUAGAAGGGAACAUAGGCAAAACAUUCUCUGACAUCAGCCAUACAAAUAUUUUCUUAGGUCAGUCUCCCAAGGCAACAGAACUGAAAACAAACAAAAAAUCAGUGAGACCUAAUCAGUCUUCUACUUUUUGAAAUAAUAAUAUCUGUGCAUCUAUCUAUGAUUUCAUUUUUGUCUUUUCCAUUUCACAACAUUAAAAAUGUUUAAAUUGCUGAGUAUAUAAGGCUAUUUUCUAAAAUUCAAAGAAUUUGUCCUAUAUUUCUUGAACAUACAAUCAACCAGGAAACAUUAAUUUUUAUUUUAGUGCCUAAAAUUCCCAAAGCUGUGUCAGAUAAAACUAACAUGGGCAUGCCAAUGUUGGGCCAGGCACUGAGUUAAGAUUAGCAAAUUGUAGAGGCUUCUUCUUUCUUUUUUUAAAUUUAUAUAUUACUCAAUGAAUUUAUUAUAUCUAUAGUUGUACAAUGAUCAUCACAAUCCAGUUUUCCAUCCCACACCCACAGUGCUUCCCCCCCAGUGCUUCUCCCCAGUGCUUUCCAUCCUACACCCCGAGUGUUUCCCUAAACCUCUCUCUUUUGGAAACCAUAAGGUUUUCAAAGUCUGUGAGUCAGUAUCUGUUCUGCAAAGUUAAUUGUGGCCUUUUUUCAGAUUCCAUAUGUCAGUAAAGGCUUUUAAUAUUGGUGUCUCAUUGUCUGACUUCACUAUCACUAGCAUGAUAAUUUCUCUGUCCAUCAUGUUGCUAAAAAUGCCAUUAUUUCAUUUCUUUUGAUGGCUGAGUAAUAUUCCAUUGUGUAUAUGUACCACAUCUUUAUCCAAUCCUCUGUUGAUGGAUAUUUAGGUUGUUUCCAUGUCUUGGCUAUUGAAAAUAGUGCUGCAAUGAACAUUGGAGUACAUGUGUUUUUUCGAGUCAUGGUUUUCUCUGGAUAGAUGCCUAGGAGUGGGAUGGCUGGAUCAAAUGGUAGUUCCAUGUUUAGUUUUCUGAGGAAUCGCCAUACUGUUUUCAAUAGUGGUUGCCCCUAUUUACAAUCCCACCAACAGUGUAAUAGGGUUCCUUUUUCUUCACACCCUCUAUAGCACUUACUGUUUGUAGACUUUUUGAUGAUGGCCAUUCUGGCUUGGUGGAAGGUGGUACCUCAGAGUGGUUUUGAUUUGCAUUUCUCUAAUAAUGAGUGAUGUUGAACAUCUUGUCAUGUGUUUUUUGGCCAUCUGUAUGUCUUGUUUGGAGAACUGUCUGUUUAGAUCUUCUGCCCAUUUUUUGAUGGGGUUGUUUGUUUUUUUGGUAUUGAGCUGUAGGAGGUGUUCAUAAAUUUUUGAGAUUAUUCCCUUGUCAGUCAAUUCAUUUGCAAAUAUCUUCUCCCAUUCUGUGGGUUGUCUUUUCACACACACCUACAGUCAACUAAUCUAUGACCAAGGAGACAAGAAUAUACAAUGGAGAAAAGACAGCCUGUUCAAUAAGUGGUGCUUGGAAAACUGGACAGCCACAUGGAAAAGAAUGAAAUUAGAACACUCCCUAACACCAUACACAAACAUAAAUUCAAAAUGGAUUAAAGACCUAGAUAUAAGACCAGAUACUAUAAAACUCUUAGAGGAAAACAUAGGCCAAACGCUCUCUGACAUAAAUGACAACAACAUCUUCUCAGGUCCACCUAUUAGAGUAAUGACAGUAAAAACAUAAAUAAAUGGGACUUAAUUAAACUUAAAAGUUUCUUCACAGCAAAGGAAACCCUAAACAAAAUGAAAAGACAAUCUAUUUUAUUUCUUUAUUUUUUUAGGUCCUCACCCAUGGCAUAUGGAGGUUCCCAGGCUAGGGAUCCAGUCAAAGCUGUAGCCACCAGUCUACACCAGAGCCACAGCCACUGGGGAUCUGAGCCAUGUCUGUAAUCUACACCACAGCUCACAGCAAUGCCAGAUCCUUAAGCCACUGAGCAAGGCCAAGGAUCAAACCCACAUCCUCAUGGUUGCUAGUUGGGUUUGUUAACUACUGAGAGGCUUCUAUUUUCAAUGUUAUUUUAUUUACAGGGGAGGAAGCCCAGAGAUACUAGGUAACUUGCCAGAAACCUCAAAGCCAGUACCUGGUAAAACAGAGUUACUCCAGGUUUUUCUGAUUCUUAUGCCUUGACUCUUUCCAAAUUUUACCUUUUCCUUGAACAUACUAAAGAUUCUUUUAAGAUCACAUGGCAGAAAGUGCAUAUGCUGGUGUGCCCAAGGAAAUAAAAUGGGCAAAGCCUGAGGUGGUUAAACUGGUCUCAGUCAGGGCUGGAAACACACCACUGAGCAUAAGCCACCUUGGUCAAUUCAAUGUCGGUGUGUUGGGAAAAGCAAUUGUCUUAAAAGUCUACAAAGUAAUGCUUUAUUUACCUGAUCCAGGGCCUCUGAGUUAUGCAAAAGAAUACUCUAUAAAAGAAUCACAUCAUUGGUAUUUGAGAUGUGUUUAUUAUCUUGGCAAAUAGAUCUACUUAGAUACAAGGUUUGCUCUUCAAACUUGGACCUAGCCACACUUUGAUUUAUCUAAAAUAUCCCUCCAAAGUGAGAACUCAUUCACUCUUAAUGAUUCUCCUAUAAAUUUGUUUAUGGGUGAUUUCAGCUAUGAGGUGUCAACUGGGACACAGAUUUAAUGAACAUGGGUAGGGUAAAUCUUCCAUUACAGAGGACAAAUGAGGCAUUUUGUUCAAGACAAUUUACUAAGUAUGUCCUAUAUAAUGAGAUCUGCAUUGUAACAAAGCGAGCAUGUGUCUCCUGUUUGGUUUAGAAAAGAGCUGUAUCAGAGUUGGUGGAUGACCAUAGCAGCUUUUACAGUGGUGCUGUUGGUGUUGUAAUUUGACAAGCUUUCAGAAUAGCCUGGCGCCAGACUCACUUUUGUCAAUGCUAAAUUAAGGGUUCUUCAUAACUGGAAAGCAAUCACUUAUGUAAGCCAGCAUACAGAUCUAAGAAUGGUGGGGGGUGGGGAACUGCUGUAAUAACAAUGAUAAACACAAGGAGCUGCAAAAGGACAAACAUUAAUAUGUUAAAAAAAGACUUCAAAAUCCUAGAAUGUGGGGAAGGAAAGUAAAAUCUAAAGUCUUUUUUUUUUUUUUUUAAUAAUGUGUUUGAGACUUACGACUAUCAGGCUAAAGCAAGCAGAUACAGGAAGGGGUUAACAUACUUAAAAAACAGGGCAGCCACAAAUCAAAACCAAAUAUUACAUUCACAAAAACUAGAAAGAAAAGUACACAAGCAUAAAAUAAAUAGAAAUCAUCCAACCAAAAAAAAAAA
rnacentral:lncRNA from 1 species